AUUAAGACUCGCAAGAAAUUAUUGAACUUCUUAUAACAAUACGACAAUAACAUACCACGAUAACAUGAAUGGGUCUGUGAUUUCAACCUCGAUUGAAUUAUGUCGAACGUAUAAAUACAAGAAACUAUUGUUUACAAGACAGUUUAGAGCGUACUUCGAAGCUGAAAGCAUACAGAUAGAGCUUCGAUAGCUAUUGAAAUGCGAUUUCUGCUGUCCAUGUUGAUGCUUAUGGCAGUUUGUACUGCUGUGCUAUCGACUCAAUCGAAAGAAACCGGCACUUGCAGCCCUUGGAACGGAAAGUGUAGAGUGUAUGAAGAUUGUUGUCGCCAUCUCCUUUGUCUUACAUAUGCAGCUAAAUGUGUGCUAAAUCCAGUGCAUAUUCCAGGACAAGACAAAAGACCUAUUGGAAAUGGACCAUUUCCUCCUGAUUAUCCAAGCGAUUAAGUACUAUGUAAAAUUAUUUACGUUUUCGCCUAUCUCCUUAAACUCUUUAUUCAUCCGUAACAAAAACGACCUUUCUGAAUUUGUAUCUUUUUCUAGGAAGAUGGAAAAGAUAGUUUAACAUCUUUAAUUUUUGUUUAAUAAAUUUUAAUGCCUUUUAACAAAUCGUAUAAAUAUGUAUCCUCGUUCGAAAUGAAUAUUCCUUAUUAUAUAGAAAGAAAACAAGCGAUAAAAUACUUAAAAAUAUCAAUACAUAUUUCGUUGUCUUCGUUGUUACUAUAACAGCUGAAUCAUAUGGAACCAUGUGAAUCAACGGCUAAAAAGAAAUAAGUGACUGAUAAAAAUAUCUGCUGAUAGCAACGCAAAAGUAAUAUUAAGAUAAGAAAUACUUCUCACAAUACUUUUUUUUCUGUAAAACGUUUCAAUUUUCAUUUGUUCAUUGUGAUAUCAGUUUCACCAUAUUACGAGUCUUAUUUCUGACUGUUAGCAUACGUUGUUGUUUAAAUAAACGAAAAAUUAUGACUGCUCGUUUAUAUUACAUAUAGCAUAGCAACAUAAUUUGAAACUUCAUCCGUUUCCGCGGAUGUUGCGUGGUAAGUGUCAAAGUUCUCAAAUGACUUAAUCUUUCGGUAAUAUCAUCGUAACGAUAAGUAAACGAAAUUGUGUAACAAACAAACAAUGGGAUGCGUAAAAAAUUUUUAAUUUUGAAAUUGCAAAGUUGUGACGUUGUAUGGUGAUGUUUUUCAAAAGCAGAUUUACCAAGGAGGGAAAGAAAGCUACGGUUGCGGCGCGCCGGUUCGUUAUAACCAGAAAGAAAGAGAUAAAAAUAUAUUUGUUGCAUGUAUACACGUUGUGUACAUUCAACUUUCAAGGAUGCACUGUAUCACGUAUUUUCCAUUUCCGACAGACUCCUUAGUUUUCCCAUCGUAUCUGUUUUGGAAAGUAUGACGAAAUAUGUUGAAAGACAGUUAUAUUAUAGUUAUGUACAUGUAAUCUACAUAAAAAUUAUAACUGAAAGAUAAAAAUUUGCUCAUUAUUAAUUAUAAUUUUGUAUUAUACUCAUCUUCUAUUAUCUUCUAAACACGUAAUUGUAGUUAACCACUUCAAACAUAUAAAUUAACACGGAUUAAAACAUAUAAAUAUUAAUAUAAUUUAAUACUUAUAAUUCUACUUUAAUCAAUUUAAAUUUAAUAUCUAUAAUUAAAUUAAUUAAUACUGAUGUAACAAAUCUACUCGAUUAAUCUUUCAGUAAUAAGUUUUAACACAAUGUUCCAACCAUAUUCUUAUAAUAUAAUACACAUAAUAGUUCUAAAUGACGUAAUUGAUGUUAACAAAAUUCUACAAUAAAAAUUCCAAAUUUCCUCCAACAAAUAAGAAGGUCAGAAAGAGGAAAGAAAGUAAGACAUGGAAAAUUCAUUCAGUAGCUAAGCUAAUCGUUGAAAUGAGAACUCAUCAGUGUAAUAAAAAGCGAAACAACUGCACAAACAUUUCUUAAAACUGAAUCACGUGUACUUGCAAGAAAUAUAACAUUUCUCGCUAUUAUCCAGCACUCUUGCAGCUACGCACACGUGCCGCAUACUGUAUGUGUAAUACGCGACUUAAACAGCGGUUAGAGUGACGCGAUGUUGCGGUAUAAAAGCGUAGUAUAUUUCAAGUUGAGAAAUCAGUUAAGGUCGAACUCUUGAGACGUUCGCUGUGAAGAAAGAGCCGUGAAAUCGCUCCUACGGAUCAAGUCACUUCUG
rnacentral:misc_RNA from 1 species